rnacentral:rRNA from 1 species
GACGAACGCUGGCGGCGUGCUUAACACAUGCAAGUCGAACGGUGAAGCGCCUUCCUUUUUGGUGGGUGUGGAUGAGUGGCGAACGGGUGAGUAACACGUGAGUAACCUGCCCCCUUCUUCUGGAUAACCGCAUGAAAGUGUGGCUAAUACGGGAUAUUCUGGGUCUGUCGCAUGAUGGGUCUGGGAAAGAUAUUGUUUCGGUGGGGGAUGGGCUCGCGGCCUAUCAGCUUGUUGGUGGGGUGAUGGCCUACCAAGGCGGUGACGGGUAGCCGGCCUGAGAGGGUGGACGGUCACACUGGGACUGAGACGCGGCCCAGACUCCUACGGGAGGCAGCAGUGGGUAAUAUUGCACAAUGGGCGCAAGCCUGAUGCAGCGACGCCGCGUGAGGGAUGGAGGCCUGCGGGUUGUGAACCUCUUUCGCCAGUGAAGCAGGCCUGCCUCGUUUGUGGGUGGGUUGACGGUAGCUGGAGAAGAAGCGCCGGCUAACUACGUG